UGGGUUGUAACUUCUUUAUGAGGAAGAAACUAUGGUUCUACUAUAGCCGACGGUACCUUAGGAAUAAGCACCGGCUAACUCCGUGC
rnacentral:rRNA from 1 species